CCCUUCAUUUCAUCGUUCCAACACCCCUAUCAGAGAACCCAAACCUGACCCUAACAGAGCCGCCCCCUUUUCCACCACCGUCCGGUGGCGGUGCCACCUCCGUUCAACACCAAACUAACACCCCACAACCCCCGGGAUCCCCUCAUACCAAAUCCACAACUACUCUCCUUCGUAUCUGCCCGGAGCUCCGCGAAUCUCGAAUUUGAGGUCAACCCCAAAAGUUCAAAACCGCUUUUUCGUCAAUCCUGGUACAUGCAUGGUCAGAAGGCGUUGUUCUUCGAGUUUUGAAGUUCGGAUUCAAACGAUCGACCUUAGCUUUGUUAGGGCUUUUAUCUCCGAUGGAUUGCGAGUCUAAAUCGGUAAGCUCUUUUCUUCUCUUGUCUUCUUUUCCUUUUUGAUUGUCUUAUUCUCUUCUUCCUCCCCUUUCCUUUAGCUUAAUCUUCUUAUACUAGUCUGGCUGAAACUCGACUAAUCUCUCAAGUUUAGAUUGGUCUUCCGGUUAUUGUCCUUCUCUUCUUCGUGAAAGUUUGUUUUCUGAUUUCUUUAGUCUGUUGUGUUAAUAGCAUGGAUAACUCUCCGAUCUUGUUUUCUGUUUAACCAUCCAAGUUGUUUUAAAAUUAAGUUACUUCAACUGAGUUAAAUCUUUGCCUAGUCAUCGUUAAUUAAUCAGUAAGUUAGUAGAUUUGCUUUGAAAUCAUUUCAUGUUAUCAUGGCUUGCAGAUUUUUCUUUUCAAAUAGAUAAGUGUUCGUCAGGGCUUUGGUUUGUCUUUGGUCCAUUUGGCAAAGAGCAGCCCGUCCAAAUUGGUUUAUGUUUUUGGGGUAAAUUCAGCCGUGGGUUAAUUUGACCCAUGUCUCAGUUGGGGUUUAAGGUAAAUAACAAGGGUAUGGGGGUUAGUUUGGGUAGUCAUAGUGAGGGAAUCUAUUUGUAACUGUCUGGGAAGCUUCUAGGAAGCUGGGGAGGGGACUACUUUGUAAAACCUGAAUUUAAAUUAGGGGUGUUUAAGCUAAAAUGGAAACUAAAAGGGACUGAAUGGUAAAUACGUAUCUCUUUGGGUCUGCCCUAUUUGCUUGCCUAUAAAGGCAUCUCUUCCUUGUCAUUCAAGGCAGAAUUAGAGGAUUCUAGAAAAAUAAAAUGGUUGUUUCUCUUCCAAGUUUCUGAAAUGAUCUGAAAUUCCCUUAAGUUCUUUGGAAAAAUUGUUGAGAAUUCUGCUUGGUUCUGUCCCUCUGAUCCUCAUAUUCUAGCUCAAAACCACUGAAACUUCACAGUUUUAUAUUCUGGUUCGAAAAUGGACUGAAUGUUUUGGUUUGAGUUUCUGCUGGUUGAUUUUCUAUUCCAUUGCUGGGUUGGGUCCGAUUUCUGCUGACUGCUUUUCACUGCUAGUUUACUGCUGUUGUUAAUCUAUUCUUGAUCACAAACUGAGUUUCUGGUUAUGUCUUGUUAUAUUCAGGUACAUGUCUUUGAAUCCCUGUUGAUAUGAGACUCACAUUGAGAGAUGAAAUGGAAACAACAUUUUCAAAUCAUAGCAGCAAAUUAUUCACUUGUAGUUCAGUCUUAUUUUCUUCCCUUUUCCCUGAUUCCAUUAGUUGUUACUUGUUUUAAGUGUAUCAUAUUCUGUUAGCUGUGUGUUGCACUCUUCUAGGGGUUGAGUUGGGUUUGUACUUAGCAGGGGAUUCAAUUUUCUCGCAAAGUUCUAUAGCUGAAUGUUGAUUUGGAUAAUCUGAGAUCCCAUUAUCCUCCUUGAUCAUGAAUUGUCAUGAGAAUUGAGUUGACAACCUGACUAAUCAAAUCAAAUAGCUAGGUUUGAAUGCAAUCUUGUCAAAUAGUUUGAUUACAUUGGAGUUGUCUUCCUAUUAUAUGAUUCAUAUGAUGUGUCGUGACAUGAUUAUUGUGUUUAAAUAACCUUAGGAUUCACAAGCUGACUAAUUGAACAGGUUUCAAGUUAUGGUCAGUUUUUCUUUACAAGAUUAUUUAU
rnacentral:lncRNA from 1 species